CGGCGUCUGGCGCGCCCUCCUCGACCGCCCGGCUCCCGCGCUGCUGUUUCCUGUUCAACAAUAUGACCAGGGAGGCACCGGCGGAGAGCGCCCGGCAGAACUUCCUCCGGGGCUGUGGUUGCCAGAGACAAUCCCCAGUGUCCUGGCUUCCUGUCCCCUCUGGGCCAGGCCAGCGCCCCAGGAGCAGAGAUGCCACCCCAUUCCCCCUGCACCUCCCAGAUCCAGGGCCACACCUGGCUGUUUCCAGGGAGGAGGAGGAGGCAGCAGGGCUGAGAUGGUGGGAUGAGGGUGGCGGGAGCCUCCCCACUAGCUUCUCCUGGCCAGAUUGCCCUCUCACUGCCCUCCCCGAUUGUCCCCCUACCUCUAGGAGAGGAGGGCCACCCUCCAAUCUGUCCGCAGGGUAAGCUCAGAUCAACCUCCUGGAGGCCAGAAUCUCAAGUCCAGCCCCAGGUUCCUCCACCCUGGGGGUCUUCUCUUUGGGAGUUAUCUGCCUCUCUGGGGAAAGCAGCCUGGCCCCUCUGGGCCCUGCAUUCACUCCAGACAUCACAAGCCCCGGCCCGGUGGACCCUGCUCUCAGUGACCUCAAGGAACAGUUGUGUCCGCCUAGGUGCUGAGGACGGCCGCUUCAGGCUAGUGUCUGGGAGAAGGACGGAGUCCCCACCCCAGCCCCUGCCUCCCUGGACACCACCUCAUGAGGCCUGACUCAGGUUCCAGCCACUUUCUUGAACCCCGGUACCUCUGUAUCUUUGCCCCUGCUAGGUGCUGCCCAGCAGUGAGUCUACAUUGUGCUGGGUAUCUCAGUGUGUCUGAGCCCUGGUGGCAUCUUGGGAUCCUCCAGGGCAGGGUCCUGCUAGAAGAUGGUGGCGGAACCCCCCCACCCCCAACCUACCUCUUAGGUCCCUCCCCACUUGCCCCGAGUUACCCAGCAAGCAAGGCAGGAUGGCAGCAGCUGGUAGCAGUUGUGGUCCUGAUGCCCGACUCUGCCACUUCCUGGCCUUUAGACCUUGGGAGUUUGGCCUUAUUUCUGUGUCUCAGUUUCUUCCUAUAGACUGGGGGCAGUAGCACCUACUUCAUAGGAUUGUUGGGAAGAUUAAAUGAGAUGCACUAGGCACAGUGUCUAACACAUGGCAGAAGGGGAGGAGGAAGAACAAGUGUCCUCAGAAGCACCUUGCAGGGAUGGAGGGGCUGAGCCCACAGUGGGGCAGCACCAUGUCACAUGCCCCUGGCCCUCAACCCCAGUUCCUUUUCUCUUCUCUGGACCUGCCAUCUACUGGCCCCAAGGAGGUUUCACAUGAUUUGGUGUCAAGGGUCUGUGCUUGGACAUGUGAGGGACAGAAAAAGCAGCUGUUGUGGUGGAAUCAGCUUCUGUGUCUGUGAGUAAACCUCCCCAAUGUCCCUGAAAUCCUACCCAGCGGGGGACCCUGACUUCUGGGCGGGGCAUAUAGACUGACACUGCUGCUUACUUACUGUCCCCUCCCUGCCCACUCCUGGUACACAAGCCCCCUUCUCACAAGUGUUUGCCACGGAUGCCUCUAGGCCCUCCCCUGUGACUAAGGAGCGU